ACUAUUCUUUGACAUUCUGCACAUCUUUCUAGCUGGCUGUUGGUGUAUUUUAUUUUGGCAUAUUCCAUUGCCCACAGCAGUACCCACUCUUUCUCCCUCUUCCACUGACUCCUUUCAAACUCAAGUUAUUUCCCUUCCUCCAUCAACUGAUGAUGCUUUAUGGCUUCUUUUUGGGCUCCUUCCUUUAUUUUUUUUAUUUCCUCUGCUGUCAGAUAUUUUGUGAUUUGAGAGGCAAUUGACUGUAGUUUUGCAGUUGUGGUGGCCUCUUUCUUUUCUGUUGGUAAAUCUGCUUCUUUUAUGCACUCCUCAAAUUCUGCUUUUGUCCUCCUGC